UCCCUACGGGAGGCAGCAGUGAGGAAUAUUGGUCAAUGGGCGGGAGCCUGAACCAGCCAAGUCGCGUGAGGGAAGACGGUCCUAUGGAUUGUAAACCUCUUUUGUCGGGGAGCAAAGAGGCCACGUGUGGUCAAAAGCGAGAGUACCCGAAGAAAAAGCAUCGGCUAACUCCGUGCCAGCAGCCGCGGUAAUACGGAGGAUACGAGCGUUAUCCGGAUUUAUUGGGUUUAAAGGGUGCGUAGGCGGGACGGUAAGUCAGCGGUAAAAUUGAGAGGCUCAACCUCUUCGAGCCGUUGAAACUGGUU
rnacentral:rRNA from 1 species